rnacentral:rRNA from 1 species
CACGCCGUAAACGAUGAUAACUGGAUGUUCGGAUUUAGGUUCGAGCGUCUGAGGGAAACCAUUAAGUUAUCCACCUGGGGAGUACGACCGCAAGGUUGAAACUCAAAGGAAUUGACGGGGGCCCGCACAAGCGGAGGAACAUGUGGUUUAAUUCGAUGAUACGCGAGGAACCUUACCCGGGCUUGAAAGACUAUUGCAUAGAGUAGAGAUAUUCUUUUGUAGCAAUACACCAUAGUCUAGGUGC